rnacentral:rRNA from 1 species
UGGGGAAUAUUGCACAAUGGGCGCAAGCCUGAUGCAGCCAUGCCGCGUGUAUGAAGAAGGCCUUCGGGUUGUAAAGUACUUUCAGCGGGGAGGAAGGCGAUAAGGUUAAUAACCUUGUCGAUUGACGUUACCCGCAGAAGAAGCACCGGCUAACUCCGUGCCAGCAGCCGCGGUAAUACGGAGGGUGCAAGCGUUAAUCGGAAUUACUGGGCGUAAAGCGCACGCAGGCGGUCUGGCAAGUCGGAUGUGAAAUCCCCGGGCUGAACCUGGGAACUGCAUUCGAAACUGGCAGGCUAGAGUGUGGUAGAGGGGGGUAGAAUUCCAGGUGUAGCGGUGAAAUGCGUAGAGAUGUGGAGGAAUACCGGUGGCGAAGGCGGCCCCCUGGACAAAGACUGACGCUCAGGUGCGAAAGCGUGGGGAGCAAACA